UGACCAUUCAUAUUGUGAUGCUUAGAAC
rnacentral:piRNA from 1 species